ACGCUCGACACCUACGGGAGGCAGCAGUUGGGAAUAUUGGACAAUGGAGGAAACUCUGAUCCAGUGACGCCGCGUGAAGGAAGAAGGUCUUCGGAUUGUAAACUUAUUUUGUCAGGGAAGAAAAAAUGACUGUAUCUGAAGAAAAAGCACCGGCUAACUACGUGCUAGCAGCCGCGGUAAUCUGAGCGGGCUGGCAAGGC
rnacentral:rRNA from 1 species